rnacentral:lncRNA from 1 species
AGAGACCAAUAUGACACAGAAAUUAACAACUAUAGUUCACCGUACGACCUUCAACAACGAACAAAACCCAUACCGCAUACUCAGCUUUAAAAGGCCCCGAACUGACAAUGUAAAACAAUUCAAACCAGAAAACUAGCGGCCUUAUUUAUGUACAAAAAAUGAACGAAAAACAAAUAUGUAACACAUAAACAAACGACAACCACUGAAUUACAGGCUCCUUACUUAAAUGUUCAUAACAUGCUAAAUGUAUGUUCAUAUUGAAAUUGAUAGAAAACCAAAAAUUAAGAAUUUUGGAAAUAAAGGAGGGAUAAAAAAAAAAAACAUUUUCCUGUCCCCAAUAACCUAUGACUUAUGAUACUUUUGCUGAAAUUCUCCAGUCAUUCAAUAUUUUACAAAAUUCUUCCAACAACACUUUACAUACUUUAAACUACACUCUGAAUGCCCGCGAUU